GAUGAACGCUGGCGGCGUGCUUAACACAUGCAAGUCGAACGGAAAGGCCCUGCUUUUGUGGCGUUCUCGAGUGGCGAACGGGUGAGUAACACGUGAGUAACCUGCCCUUGACUGUGGGAUAACUUCAGGAAACUGGGGCUAAUACCGGAUAUGAGCUCCUGCUGCAUGGUGGGGGUUGGAAAGUUUCGGCGGUUGGGGAUAGACUCGCGGCUUAUCAGCUUGUUGGUGGGGUAGUGGCUUACCAAGGCUUUGACGGGUAGCCGGCCUGGGAGGGUGACCGGCCACAUUGGGACUGAGAUACGGACCAGACUGCAACGGGAGGCAGCAGUGGGAAAUAUUGCACAGUGGGCGGAAGCCUGAUGCAGCAACGCCGGGUGCGGGAUGCCGGCUUUUGGGUUAUAAACCGCUUUCUCCUGUGAUGAAGCGUGAGUGACGGUAAUUGGUAAAGAAGCACCGGCUAACUACGUG
rnacentral:rRNA from 1 species